CAGUCCCCUCCGCCCGCUCCCCUUACGCCGGCUCAGCACCCAUCCUUUCCUAACCCCGAACUGCCCGGCGCCCCGGACUCUCGGCGCCUGCGCCGCGCCCGAGGACCACCCCCACCCCGCUACCCGGGGUCCAUCCAUCCUCGGCCCUUCGAGGCUGGGAAAGGGAGCGGACGGUGCACAAAGGUCACCCCGAGCUAACGGAGGCGACCGGCGCGGGAAACGCGCUCACCCGCAGGGUGGGGGCGGGGUGCGAAAACCGAAGGAACGACGAAGGCGCGGACCGGAGCCGGGAGCCUCCCUGCCACCAGGGUCCCGCACCUCCCAGCCCCGCUAGGCGCGCAGGGCUGCGGCUCCCAGUGGCUCCACCGUCUGCGCUCUCCGGCAAGGUCCUCUCGGGCGCCUCGGAACUGCGCGCCCCUAGCCGCCAGCAUGGUGGGAGCCGCGCCUCCGGCAGCGCCCGGUCCCCGGCCCCUACCUCCAAGAGCAGCCCGAGCAGCAGCGCCGCCACCUUCGCAGGCUGUCGCCUCAUGGCUCCUCGCGUCCUCUCCGGCGCGCCCGGACGCCAGGUCGCAGGCGCGGUUCGCGACUCGGCCCCCGCGCGGAGCGCGCGGGCGGGCGGACUCGAGCCGGGAGCCGGCAAGAGCUGGGGGGCCCGGCGGGGAGCGGGCGGGAGCCCGGAACGCCGCGCAGCCCUCGCCGCGCUCCGCCCCCGGCCGCCGCGCGCUCCCGACACGCCCGACCGGGCGCGCGCCCGCGGGCUCCCGGAACCCGAGGGCUGGCCUGGGGCGCGGCUGCGGGGCGCGAGGCCCGCGACGCUGAAGUGCGCGCGCCCGGGGAGGGAGGAGGCGCUGCACCGCCCGGUGAAUGGGAGGAGGACUACCAGGCUCUCCCUCCUCGAGGGAGGUCGUCCUGUCGCCCUUGACUACACCCAGGAAGGCUUUUAAAAGAAGCAGAGUCUACGCGAGGGGAAGCUUGUUCCCUGAAAGGUGGCCGCAGACGAACCCACUGUUUAGUCUGGCAUCCCGAAGCCGCUGCGCUCCUGGCUCUCCCCCUGUUCCUGCGCGCCGCGGGGGCAGUGCCUCCACACCCACGCGUGAUGGGAAGGUCGGCCUGGGGGUGGGAAGGCCCACCGAAAUAGAUGGUCCCCACACCUCACUGCUCCCUUGGAUGUGGCUAUUUUUUAUGCCAGUGUCCUGUGCUGACCCUACAUGAACUUGAUCGCAACCGGCCCCGCCUUGCAGGCCACCCUCCGGCAGCAGAGAACUGUGCGGAGCUCGCGCUGUCCUUGCCUCUGCUGACCCCACCUCCAUGUCCUCGCAGACACUAUUUUCACAACACAGCUCAGAUCCCACCUCAUUCAUGAGGUUAUUCAACGAACACUGUUGAACUUGUGAGAUGUACCAGAUCUGAGCUGCAGGUCGAGAGGAGGACAAGAAAACUGCUCCCGUAGCCUAGAGGGAGGGAGAGUCGCUUAAACCACCUGAUGCAGAAUGCUGAGUGCGGAGACCAGGAGGGUCCAUCUGAACCUCAGGGUCCUCUAGGAUACCCAGGACCUCGAGGGUCAAGGGAGCAUCAGGUUUUGAUGGCCUCCAUGAUCCCCCAGAGAAAGGGUGUGGCUUGAGUGUCUUCCUCUGUGCUCCCCAGGGAGCAGCAGCAUCAGAGUGCUCCCAGGGUGCCAAAGGGACACACUGGACCAACUGGAGACCCUGGGCCCUCUGGACUCACAGGCAAGGAGAUGACAAGAGAGGGAUCUGUGCCUGGGCACUCUAGGGAUGAAGGCACAUGGGGUCAGGGUGGGCAUGGGGGUGCCUGCAGCCAGUCAAUUAAAGAUGGCUAUGUAUUCAUUAUGCUCCUUUCUCUGUAUACGGCACCUCCUGGCUGCCGAUGGAUUGAGGCGGGUAUAGAAGUCAAGGAAAAGCCACUGUCGUGAAGACGUGGAUGGAGACAGGCACAGAGUGGCUACAGGUCCAAGCAGAGUGAACAUGCGUCCAAACUGAGCAGCGGCAGCCCCUAGAAGGGAGACACCAACAGCAGCGAGACCUGUGGUCUCCAGAGCUGACUUCUCCUGCACUUGCCACAUGCAGGCACUGUGCGGGACCUCCUCUCCAUCCUGUGAGGUGGGUGUAGCUGGUCUUAUUUUGCAGGUGAGGCUUUGCAGAUGCACAAGCAGGCCAAGUCAUCAGAGGGUCAUCAAAUGACAGGGCAGGGGCUGAGCCACAUUGGUUGGGCUGCAGAAUCACUGCUCCCAACCUCCUGCCCCACAGCUGCCUGUGCAGGAUGAGCCCUGGAGCAGCAGGAGGAAGGGGUACGCAGGGUCUCCCUGAAUCUCAGGGUCUCAAUGGAUUUUCUGACCCCAAAGGGCCCCUGGGUGACCAUGGGAUUCAAGGGAAGGUUGUUCCUGGUCUGAGGAGCUUCCCAGGAGAGAAAGGCCUCUAGGCCCUGCUGUGAGUGUGACUCCUAGAGCCCUGCUUGGACCAAGCAUCAAGCGACCUGACCCCUUCCCGGACCUUGACCCUGCUCCUUGCCACUCCCCACUCCCCACUCCCAUCUCUCCUAUCUCCUCUCACCAGCCCUCACCCUUCUCUUUUCUGUAAAGCUCCACCUUCCCCAAAUCUCUGCUUCAGAGCGUGGACCCAGCUUGAAGGGAAAUGAGGUCCAGCUGAUCCCCUUACCCUGCAGGGAGCCUGGUGUUCCUGGGGAGUGGGAGGAAGGAACCAGGAAAGGGGGUGUUGAGGCAGGGUGGAGGUGGCAUCCAGAUCUAGGCAGGUGCUGUGGGACUGGGCAGAGGGAAUCUAGAGUCAGCCAGAAUGCAGCUGAUUUGAGGCUUUUCUCCUGGGAAUUGUGCUCUGAGGGUCCCUGUAUGAGUGGGCUUGGGUCUCCCUUCCUGGGGGUCUGACUCAUCUCAGCUCUCAGGGUUUCCCCCUAGGGACUGAGCUGCAGCAGGAUCAAGGGACCCAUUGUCCCCCACCAGGGUGCUCCGGCCCUCAGGAACCCCUUGGAUCAACAGAAGAGACAGGUGUCCCAGGUGAAAAGGGCCCCAUUUGUCUGCCUGGCUGUGAUAGGGUGCAGAGUCGUGUGUGAUUUCCCGGUCCUGCUGGGCCUCCAGGUGUGGCUGGAGAAGACGGAGACCAAAAGAAGAACCCCAGAGAACCCAGCCAAUCUUCUCUCCACAUGAGAGGGGCGAGGGCUCUCCUGGACCCCCUCGACUCAUUGGUCUGUGGAACAGCCUGGAGCAGUGGGAGCAGACUGGGAGCCCGGAGCUCAGGGACCCCAGGGACACUUUGGAGCCAGAGUGUGGGGAACCAAAGGCAAUAAAGGAACAAGAGGAUUCACAGACCUACAGCUCUGGUGUAUCUGUUCCCUCCGCAAGGACUACCUGGACCCAGUGGCACUGAUGGUCCCCUGACAGGUAUUGGGGACCUGGGUCCUCCUGGAGAGAAGACAAAAGAGAAUAAAACGUGGAGAAUACCAGGAUUUUGUGAGGGGGAAAUGAAGUUUUUGACCCCAAUCUCUUUGCUGCUGGAGCCAGGAGAGAGAGGAUCUCCAGGAAUCCAGGGUGAGCCAGGUGUCAGCGGGACACAGAGAAGCUCUGCUCAUGGCCGCCUCCUACCACUCCGACCACUCUACAGUCUUGGUGGCCACGACUAACCACAGGGAGCCUGGCCAGGCGCCGCAAGUUGCAGCCUCCACCCACUCCUCUAAGUCAGGCAUGGAGCAGCAGUGAAGCAGUGGCAGAAGAGGCUGGAAUGGCAGAACACACCCUCAACGUGCAUUAUAUAUAGAGGUUACAGAAAUGAGGUCCUGGACUUUGUGUUCUGAUUGGAUGGGGGAAAACCUCUAGGCCUACUCUGAUUGGACUUUAUCUUCAUAUCCUGAUUGGUUAUCCUAAGAGUUGCUCUCAUCCAAUCUUCUUUAUAAGUCAUCUUUGUAAGUUCAUGCCCAUUGGGAGUUAGUGAAGUAGUGAAUGAUUACAUUUAAACUUAUCCUGUAAUUUUAGUCUGACUUAUUAAUUCCACCUAUCUGCAUAAGCAAAUUAUUCUCUAUAAUGAUGACCCAAGCAAAUUCCUGUCCCAAGGUGGUAUCAAGAUGAUACCCCAAGUUCCUCUCCAGAAUGGUAUGUGGAUAUAUGUGGAGAGAAAUAUUUUUUCUAGGCCUGUAUUAAAUAUGGCACUAAAGCUUAGUGGCUUAAAACAAUACACUCUUAUUAUCUCACAGCUUCUGUGAAUAAGUAGUUCAGGAGAAUGUAGUUGGGUGAUUCUUCCAAGAGUCUCAAAAGGUUGCAGUCAAUCUGUUGGUGAGAAUUGUAGUUACUUGAAGACUUGGCUGGAGUUAAAGAAUUUAUAUCAAAGAUGGCUUACUCACGGCCAUUGGAUGGAAGCCUCAGUUUCAGAAUGGCUCUUGGAAAUAGGUCUUUUUACUUGCCACGUAGACCUCUCCAUAGGGUGACUGAAUGUCCUCCAAUGUAUCAUCUGGCUUUCUCCAGUGCAAAAGAUCCAAGAAGAGAGUAUGAAGGAACACGUAAUGCUCUUUAUAAUUUUGUCACAGACCGUCACUUUUGCCAUACUGUAUUGUUUGGAAGUUAGUCACUAAGUCUAGCCCACACUCAAAAGAAUGAGAAUUAACCUCCACCUUUGGAAGAGAGGCUAGUCAAAGCACUUGUGGACAUGUUUUGAAACCACAAACGGGUAUGUCUGCCAGUCUCCAAGAUGGCCCCCAGUGAUUCUCAUCAACUAUUAUUAAUACUUUUGUAUAGUCCCUUCCCACAAGAAAAAAGGGUUGAUCUGUUUAAUUAGUAUGGUUUUGUCAAAAUGACAGAGUCUGACUUCCAAGUGUAGGUCAUAAGAAGAAUUUUGACUUCUGCCUUGUUCUCUGUUGGAUCAAUAUCCCUAGGGGAAGCUAGAUGCAAUGUCAUGAAACCAUUCAAACAGUCCCAUGGAACAAUCCAUCUAGCAAGGAACUGAUGUCUCCUAGCAAUAACUGGCAUUAACUUAUAGGCCAUAUGAGUGGGUCAUCUUAGAGUUGGAUUCUUCAGUCCAAAUCAAGUCUUCAGAUAACUGUAGCCCUGGCUGACAUCUUGAUUACAUCCUCAAGAGAGACCCUGAGCCACAAUCACUCAGUUAAGCCACCGAGUUCUUUUUGCCAAGAACUUUUUUUUUACCAAGUUCUUUUUGCCACCAACUUUAUUGAGGUAUAAUUGACAAUUACAAUUGUAUAUAUUUAAGGACUACAACUUGAUGAUUUGAUAUACACAUACAUUGUGAAAUAAUCGUGACAAUUAGGUUAACAUAUUCAUUACUUCACAUAAUUACCAUUUGCGUGUGUGUGUGUGUGUGUGUGUGUGUGUGUGUCUGUAGUGAGAACACUUAAGAUCUAUCCUCCUAGCAAAUUUCAAGUGUACAAUAUACUGUUGUUACCUACGGUCAUAGUAUUGUAUACUAUGUCUCCAGAAGUUAUUCACCUUGUGUAACUGAGAUGCUGUACCCUUGACCAAUGUCUCCCCAUUUUCUUCUCCCUCCAGCCCCUGGUAACUACCCUUCUACUUUCCAGUUCUAUAAAUUUAGAUUCCAUAUAUAAGUCAAAUUUUUGACCCUUGGAAGCUGGAUGAGAUAAUAAAUAUUUAUUGUUAUUUUCAGCCUC